ACGAGCGGCGGACGGGUGAGUAACACGUGGGCAACCUACCUGUAAGAUUGGGAUAACCCCGGGAAACCGGGGCUAAUACCGAAUAAUACUUUUUAUCACAUGGUAGAAAGUUGAAAGGCGGCUUUUGCUGUCACUUAUAAAUGGGCCCGCGUCGCAUUAGCUAGUUGGUGGGGUAAUGGCCUACCAAGGCAACGAUGCGUAGCCGACCUGAGAGGGUGAUCGGCCACACUGGGACUGAGACACGGCCCAGACUCCUACGGGAGGCAGCAGUAGGGAAUCUUCCGCAAUGGACGAAAGUCUGACGGAGCAACGCCGCGUGAGUGAUGAAGGUUUUCGGAUCGUAAAACUCUGUUGUUAGGGAAGAACAAGUAUUGUUUGAAUAAGGCAGUACCAUGACGGUACCUAACCAGAAAGCCCCGGCUAACUACGUGCCAGCAGCCGCGGUAAUACGUAGGGGGCAAGCGUUGUCCG
rnacentral:rRNA from 1 species